GCUUAUGUAGCUUAGCAGGAAGAGCAUCUGUUUUGAAUGCAGAAGGUCCCAGAUUCAAUCUCAGCUAGGGGCU